rnacentral:rRNA from 1 species
GAUGAACGCUGGCGGCGUGCCUAAUACAUGCAAGUCGAGCGAACAGAUGAGGAGCUUGCUCCUCUGACGUUAGCGGCGGACGGGUGAGUAACACGUGGAUAACCUACCUAUAAGACUGGGAUAACUUCGGGAAACCGGAGCUAAUACCGGAUAAUAUAUUGAACCGCAUGGUUCAAUAGUGAAAGACGGUUUUGCUGUCACUUAUAGAUGGAUCCGCGCCGCAUUAGCUAGUUGGUAAGGUAACGGCUUACCAAGGCAACGAUGCGUAGCCGACCUGAGAGGGUGAUCGGCCACACUGGAACUGAGACACGGUCCAGACUCCUACGGGAGGAAGCAGUAGGGAAUCUUCCGCAAUGGGCGAAAGCCUGACGGAGCAACGCCGCGUGAGUGAUGAAGGUCUUCGGAUCGUAAAACUCUGUUAUUAGGGAAGAACAAAUGUGUAAGUAACUAUGCACGUCUUGACAGUACCUAAUCAGAAAGCCACGGCUAACUACGUG